AUCUCAUAAGCCAUGGAUGAGAGCAGAAAUGAUGAUGAAAUGCUGGUGAACAUAAAUGAUAUUUUCCUCACAAGAAAAGAGAUGAGAACAAUCUCUUACAAUCAUUGGAUAUCAAAUAUGGUGGUUGAAGUCUAUUGCCAAAUGCUCCAGCUGAAACAAAAGCGUAGAGGAACCAAAUUUUUCUUUCCGCCUUCGAU